CCCAAACCCACUGUGAACCUUACCUCAGUUGCCUCGGCGGGAACGCCCCGGCCGCCGGCCCCCGCGCCGGCGCCGGACCCAGGCGCCCGCCGCAGGGACCCCAAACUCUCUUGCAUUACGCCCAGCGGGCGGAAUUUCUUCUCUGAGUUGCACAAGCAAAAACAAAUGAAUCAAAACUUUCAACAACGGAUCUCUUGGUUCUGGCAUCGAUGAAGAACGCAGCGAAAUGCGAUAAGUAAUGUGAAUUGCAGAAUUCAGUGAAUCAUCGAAUCUUUGAACGCACAUUGCGCCCGCCAGCAUUCUGGCGGGCAUGCCUGUUCGAGCGUCAUUUCAACCCUCGAGCCCCCCCGGGGGCCUCGGUGUUGGGGGACGGCACACCAGCCGCCCCCGAAAUGCAGUGGCGACCCC
rnacentral:misc_RNA from 1 species